AUUGAACGCUAGCGGCAUGCUUUACACAUGCAAGUCGAACGAGUGGCGGACGGGUGAGUAAUAUAUCGGAACGUGCCUAGUAGGGGGGGAUAACUAGUCGAAAGAGUGGCUAAUACCGCUAACUAUUGGAGCGGCCGUUACUGGAUUAGCUAGUGGGUGGGGUAAAGGCUCACCAAGGCAACGAUCCAUAGCGGGUUUGAGAGGACGACCGGCCACACUGGGACUGAGACACGGCCCAGACUCCUACGGGAGGCAGCAGUGGGGAAUUUUGGGCAAUGGGGGAAACCCUGAUCCAGCCAUGCCGCGUGUGUGAGAAGGCCUUCGGGUUGUAAAGUACUGUUGGCAGAGAAGCGGUAUCUGCAGAAUAAGCACCGGCUAACUACGUGCCAGCAGCCGCGGUAAUUC
rnacentral:rRNA from 1 species